rnacentral:rRNA from 1 species
UACAGAGGGUGCGAGCGUUAAUCGGAAUUACUGGGCGUAAAGCGCACGUAGGCGGCUUGGUAUGUCGGGUGUGAAAUCCCCGGGCUCAACCUGGGAACUGCAUCCGAAACUGCCUUGCUCGAGUAUGGGAGAGGGAAGUGGAAUUUCCGGUGUAGCGGUGAAAUGCGUAGAUAUCGGAAGGAACAUCAGUGGCGAAGGCGACUUCCUGGACCAAUACUGACGCUCAGGUGCGAAGGCGUGGGGAGCAAACAGG